rnacentral:rRNA from 1 species
GAUGAACGCUAGCGGCAGGCCUAAUACAUGCAAGACGAACGGUAAGUUGAGUAGCAAUACUUAGCCAAGAGUGUCGUACGGGUGCGUAACACGUAUGCAACCUACCUUCAACUGGAGGAUAGCCCGGGGAAACUCGGAUUAAUACUCCAUAACACAGGGAUCCCGCAUGGGAAUAUUGUUAAAGCUACGGCGGUUGAAGAUGGGCAUGCGUUCGAUUAGCUAGUUGGUGUAGGUAACGUCUCACCAAGGCUACGAUCGAUAGGGGGUCUGAGAGGAUGAUCCCCCACACUGGUACUGAGAUACGGACCAGACUCCUACGGGAGGCAGCAGUAGGGAAUAUUGGACAAUGGGCGCAAGCCUGAUCCAGCCAUGCCGCGUGAGUGAUGAAGGCCUUAGGGUUGUAAAGCUCUUUUGCCGGGGACGAUAAUGACGGUACCCGGAGAAUAAGUCCCGGCUAACUUCGUGCCAGCAGCCGCGGUAAU